CAUAAGGGCGACUGAACCGGGAACAGCCCAGCGCAUAACCUCGAACCCUCACUGAGGCGUCUUCGAGGGGUGUUGCGUUCCAGAGGGUCUAGCACGCCGGCCAUUCUCGCCUAAGUCUCGUUUGAAAGCGGCUCAUUACCCAUGGAGGGUGAUAGGCCCGUAUGGCGACUCACCCGUGAGGGAUACCUUGGUCGGCGGAAAGGACUUUUCUGUAGAGUCAGGUUGCUUGAAACUGCAGCCUAAAGAAGGUGGUAAACUCCAUCUAAGGCUAAAUAUGACCACGAGACCGAUAGCGAACAAGUACCGUGAGGGAAAGUUGAAAAGAACUUUGAAGAGAGAGUUCAAUAGUACGUGAAACCGUUAAGAGUCUAAACGGGUGGAACUCGUAGAUCGAAAUGAGGGGAUUCAGCUCAAUGGCGUCGGCUGGGCCGCGAGGUCUCCUUAAAGUUGAUGCCCGUGUGCCGUGCUGUCACGGACACGGGACCGCCUCUGGUCUCUCACGCCGGCGCCGGAGGGCGUAUUUCUCCUCGAAGUAGAUUGCCGCAGCCAUUGCCGGGGACGUCCAAGGCCCGGGUGGACUGGUACCUCGCCGUGCCCCCGUUCUCCGGAGCGGGGCGGGCGGCGGGGGAAACCCCCGGUGAAUAAAAUCCUGACUGCCCUGCGAUGGUUUAAUGAGUGGCGAGGGGGCCGCAACCUGUGUCACGGGCUUGCCCGCGAUCGCGCGGCCACCCUCUGCGGUAAUGGCUAAGUCGGUGGACCACCCGCCCCGUCUUGAAACACGGACCAAGGAGUUCAACAUGUGUGCGAGUCAUUGGGUGCACUAAACCCAGAGGCGAAAUGAAAGUGAGAAACUGAGGGGUCCYGCCAGCGUGCUGGCGGGGUCCCUGGGGCUGAUCCCUAGGCCAUGCGGCAGCCUCGGCGCCCGUGGCGGGGGUGGGAGGGUGAGCCCCUUUCCCCUCUCCAUCCCUUCCGCGGCUGGCUGCCGGCGAGUUGCGGUGGCCCUGGCCCGAGUGUCCGGUGGCGGGCGCGGCGGCGGUCGGCGGCUCUCGGGUCGUCGAUUAUUGUCGCACCCACGUGCUCGCCACCCGGUGUCGGGGGGGCGCAAGCCCGGGACUUGCUUCAUUGGCCCUCCGCGGUUGUGCGGCGGGGUGUCCGGAGCGAUCCGGCCCCCGUCGCCGCUGCGGCAGGUGCCGGCAAGUACCUUGAGCAUAUAUGUUGAGACCCGAAAGAUGGUGAACUAUGCCUGGCCAGGAUGAAGCCAGAGGAAACUCUGGUGGAGGUCCGGAGCGAUUCUGACGUGCAAAUCGAUCGUCAGAGCUGGGUAUAGGGGCGAAAGACUAAUCGAACCAUCUAGUAGCUGGUUCCCUCCGAAGUUUCCCUCAGGAUAGCUGGCACUCGUACACGAGUUUCAUCCGGUAAAGCGAAUGAUUAGAGGUCUUGGGGACGAAACGUCCUCAACCUAUUCUCAAACUUUAAAUGGGUGAGAGUCUGGGCUUUCUUGAACGACGGCGGUCCGCGGCCACUGGCUGCGCUCGCCGCUGUCCAAUAGUACAGCUGAAGCUCCAGAGUCAAAUCACUGAGUGCCUAGUGGGCCAAUUUUGGUAAGCAGAACUGGCGCUGUGGGAUGAACCAAAUGUCGAGUUAAGGGGCCUAAAUGAAUGCUCAUAGAACCCAAGAAAGGUGUUGGUUGCUAUAGACAGCAGGACGGUGGCCAUGGAAGUUGGAAUCCGCUAAGGAGUGUGUAACAACUCACCUGCCGAAGCAACUAGCCCUUAAAAUGGUAUGGCGCUCAAGCAUUCUCCCGAUACUCGACCGCCGGUGGCACAACAGGCUUCGCCACGCAAGUCUUUAAGCCCCGGUGAGUAGGAGGGCGCGGUGGUGAGCGUUGAAGGUUUCGGCGCGAGCCGGACUGGAGCCGCCACUGGUGCAGAUCUUGGUGGUAGUAGCAACUAAUCGAGAGAGACUCCCUUGUGGGCCGAUGUGGAGAAGGGUUCCAUGUGAACAUCAAUUGGACAUGGAUCAGUCGCUCCUGAGCCCAAGGCUAACGCCUUGUACCACGUCGAGCGGUAACGGCUUCAGACGAGCAGCCAGCCCCCGCGCGGGUGCAGAACGGCGGUACGUAGGUAGUAGUAAUACCGACGCACGCACCGUCGCCCGGGCAAAACACACCGGGGCACCCGACUCCCUCCUCCUAAUCCUCUUCU
rnacentral:rRNA from 1 species